GUAGGUGGCAAGCGUUGUCCGGGAAUUAUUGGGGCGUAAAGCGCGCGCAGGCGGUUCUUUAAGUCUGAUGUGAAAGCCCACGGGCUCAACCGUGGAGGGUCAUUGGAAACUGGAGAGCUUGAGUACAGAAGAGGAAAGCGGAAUUCCACGUGUAGCGGUGAAAUGCGUAGAGAUGUGGAGGAACACCAGUGGCGAAGGCGGCUUUCUGGUCUGUAACUGACGCUGAGGCGCGAAAGCGUGGGGAGCAAACAGGAUUAGAUACCCUGGUAGUCCACGCCGUAAACGAUGAGUGCUAAGUGUUAGGGGGUUUCCGCCCCUUAGUGCUGCAGCUAACGCAUUAAGCACUCCGCCUGGGGAGUACGGCCGCAAAGGCUG
rnacentral:rRNA from 1 species